rnacentral:rRNA from 1 species
UACGUAGGGGCAAGCGUUGUCCGGAUUUAUUGGGCGUAAAGCGCGCGUAGGCGGCAAGGUAUGUCGUGCGUGAAAUCUCCCGGCUUAACUGGGAGGGGGCCGUGCGAAAACUGCCUGGCUUGAGGUCGGAAGGGGAAAAGUGGAAAUUUUCCGGGUGUAGUGGUGGAAAAUACGUAGAUAUCCGGAGGGAAACACCAGCGGCGGAAGGGCGGCUUUCUGGGUCCCGAUUUCUGACGCUGAGGGCGCGAAAGCG